AUACGUAGGGGGCGAGCGUUGUCCGGACUGACUGGGCGUAAAGGGCGUGUAGGCGGCGGUGUAAGUCUGGAGUGAAAGUCCCGCAUUCAAUGUGGGAAUUGCUUUGGAUACUGCAGUGCUAGAGUGCGGAAGAGGUAAGUGGAAUUCCCAGUGUAGCGGUGAAAUGCGGAGAGAUUGGGAGGAACACCAGUGGCGAAGGCGACUUACUGGGCCGUAACUGACGCUGAGGCGCGAAAGUGUGGGGAGCAAACAGGAUUAGAUACCCUGGUAGUCCACACUGUAAACGAUGAAUGCUAGGUGUAGGGGGUAUCGACCCCUUCUGUGCCGCAGUCAACACAAUAAGCAUUCCGCCUGGGGAGUACGGCCGCAAGGUUGAAACUCAAAUGAAUUGACGGGG
rnacentral:rRNA from 1 species